UUGGAGGGCAAGUCUGGUGCCUGCAGCCGCGGUAAUUCCAGCUCCAAUAGCGUAUAUUAAAGUUGUUGCAGUUAAAAAGCUCGUAGUUGAAUUUCGGGGUUCUACCGUUGGUCGGGCAAUAGUCUGUACUGGCGUGUAGAAUUUCUACCUUCUGGGGAACUAUCAUGUUAUUUAUUUAGCGUGGUAGGAAACCAGGACCUUUACCUUGAAAAAAUUAGAGUGUUCAAAGCAGGCUUACGUCUGAAUACAUUAGCAUGGAAUAAUAAAAUAGGACGGUGGUCCUGUUUUGUUGGUUUCUGAAUCACCGUAAUGAUUAAUAGGGAUAGUUGGGGGCAUUGGUAUUCAAUUGUCAGAGGUGAAAUUCUUGGAUUUAUUGAAGACUAACUUCUGCGAAAGCAUUUGCCAAGGAUGUUUUCAUUAAUCAAGAACGAAAGUUAGGGGAUCGAAGACGAUCAGAUACCGUCGUAGUCUUAACCAUAAACUAUGCCGACUAGGGAUCGGACGAUGUUAAUUUUUCUUGACUCGUUCGGCACCUUACGGGAAAC
rnacentral:rRNA from 1 species